rnacentral:tRNA from 1 species
AACCCAAUAACUCAGUUGGUUAGAGUGUUCGUUUGAUAAGCGGAAAGUCAGAGGUUCGAGUCCUCUUUGGGAGAGACCUA